rnacentral:rRNA from 1 species
GAUGAACGCUGGCGGCGUGCCUAAUACAUGCCAGUCGAGCGAACAGACGAGGAGCUUGCUCCUCUGACUUUAGCGGCGGACGGGUGAGUACCACGUGGAUAACCUACCUAUAAGACUGGGAUAACUUCGGGAAACCGGAGCUAAUACCGGAUAAUAUAUUGAACCGCAUGGUUCAAUAGUGAAAGACGGUUUUGCUGUCACUUAUAGAUGGAUCCGCGCCGCAUUAGCUAGUUGGUAAGGUAACGGCUUACCAAGGCGACGAUGCGUAGCCGACCUGAGAGGGUGAUCGGCCACACUGGAACUGAGACACGGUCCAGACUCCUACGGGAGGCAGCAGUAGGGAAUCUUCCGCAAUGGGCGAAAGCCUGACGGAGCAACGCCGCGUGAGUGAUGAAGGUCUUCGGAUCGUAAAACUCUGUUAUUAGGGAAGAACAAAUGUGUAAGUAACUAUGCACGUCUUGACGGUACCUAAUCAGAAAGCCACGGCUAACUACGUG